rnacentral:rRNA from 1 species
AUUGAACGCUGGCGGCAUGCUUUACACAUGCAAGUCGAACGGCAGCGCGGGCUUCGGCCUGGCGGCGAGUGGCGAACGGGUGAGUAAUACAUCGGAACGUGCCCAGUAGUGGGGAUAGCUCGGCGAAAGCCGGAUUAAUACCGCAUACGACCUGAGGGUGAAAGCGGGGGAUCUUCGGACCUCGCGCUAUUGGAGCGGCCGAUGGCAGAUUAGCUAGUUGGUGGGGUAAAGGCCUACCAAGGCGACGAUCUGUAGCUGGUCUGAGAGGACGACCAGCCACACUGGGACUGAGACACGGCCCAGACUCCUACGGGAGGCAGCAGUGGGGAAUUUUGGACAAUGGGCGAAAGCCUGAUCCAGCAAUGCCGCGUGUGUGAUGAAGGCCUUCGGGUUGUAAAGCACUUUUGGCGGGAACGAAAAGGACUGUGCCAAUACCACGGUUCGAUGACGGUACCCGCAGAAUAAGCACCGGCUAUCUACGUG